rnacentral:rRNA from 1 species
GACAGAGGGUGCAAACGUUGUUCGGAAUUACUGGGCGUAAAGCGCGUGUAGGCUGCUCUGCAAGUCGGAUGUGAAAGCCCUGGGCUCAACCUAGGAAGUGCAUUCGAAACUGCAGAGCUGGAGUCCUGGAGAGGAAGGCGGAAUUCUCGGUGUAGAGGUGAAAUUCGUAGAUAUCGAGAGGAACACCUGCGGCGAAGGCGGGUAGCUGGGCCGACACUGACGCUGAGGCGCGAAAGCCAGGGGAGCGAACGGG